CGUGCGGCCCCUGGGGAGCGCGGCCCGGCGGUGAACAAAGGCGCGGUGCCCUCGCUGGGCGCGGCCCGGCGGGCUGAGGGCGCCGCCGGGGCUGGGCUCUGCGCUGCUCCCCCGAGGGCCCUUUUGUGCCACCCGCACCCCCAGCGAGGGCCUGCUGCGGGGAGCUCCCCGCAGCGUUACUGCUUCCCUGCCCGCUGGGCUCCAGCGGUGUGAAUUUGUUGUUGAACGGCAUUCGUGGCAAAUCUGACGUGUGACUGAGACGCAGCAACCUCUCGCGUGUCCUUACUUGAACAAUACCGAGCAGUCUGAGCUGCCGACACCUCCGCUCGCUCCCAGGCGGGAGGAUGCCACCUUUCGGAGGCACUUUAAGGCCGCGGUGGCUCAGCGCAGGGGUGCAGCAGUCAGCCUCGCUAGCAACAGGCGCGCAGCUGACUCUCGUUGCGUAUCUCGAGUGACUGCGAAGGUUUAGGACGUGCUGGUGAAUGGCUCCUGGCAGAGGAAGAAAUAACCUUUUGGCAAACAGGGCGCUUUCGGAGGGAAAGCUCCCGCUGUGGGAGUACUUCUUAACGGCUCAGCUGGGCUCUCUCAGGCAGACGCAGAUGCCCACGGCUGGCACAGGGAGAGCGCACGGAAACACACAGUGUGGUGUCCACGGAAAGGAACGGUGCUUGUGCUUGCACCCAAGGCUUUUGGCUGCGGGGAAAUUCAUCAGUUCGUGCUAGCUGGCCGUGCUGACAGGACAUUUGGGAGCCUUGCAGGCUUUCCACCUUUGCAGCCUUUUUCUACGCAAUUUUCUACUGUUGUCUUUGUUUGGAAGUGCCUCUGUGUCCCUUACCUCCUGCACGGUCACUCAGGGUGCUUCAGGAAGCCUCCCAUGGAGCACGGCAGUCUAGGGAGGGAGGACGAGAAUCCCACUAGGACCCGGAGGACAGGGUGGCCUAGGGAAUGAGAGAAAGACGGCAUUAGUUAUUUAGGAAAGUGAUCUUAAAGCCAUUUGUGUGGGAUGGAAGCAAUAAACAGAAGGUUCUCUGCUCUGAGAGCUGAGUCUGCAGUCACUUUUUAUAGGUUCUGAGGGGCAAGCCUGAGGCAGGAGCUGGGAUCGGCGUUAUCUGGAGAGGCACCCUAAGAGGCAGCGGCUCCCUGUUUGUCUCCCACUUGAGUGCUGCAUUCAGCAGGAACCGAGUCUCACGGAUGAAAAAUACCACAGAUGGAUGGCAUCUUGCCUCCUGGAGAAGCAGUAAAACCUAGCACUGGCACACCUAACCAUUAAUUUGGAAAAGAAAAAUAUAUUCUGGCAUAGCAUCCUGAAGAGGCUGCCAACCCUUGUCCUGCAGCAGUGAUAGCACACUUUCCAAAGUGUGAGCAAGAGCAAAUAAUGAGGUCCACUCUCCAGAUUCAAGCAAAAUUUGAGUCAAUAGCUGGGUUCAGAUCUGGAGUUCUCUGCUGUAAUUGCCCUGAGUGCACAAAGGCAUUUCUGUACAUACGUUUUGGAAACCUCCCCAAGCCUGCACCACAAAGCCAGCUGUCUCUUCCUGGGCCUUCCAGCGCACGCUCUCAGAUGACCACGGCACCAGUGAAUGCGUCUUAGAAAAUCACCUAGGCUGAUGGCUCCCCAAAGCCUAACUGGGUACCUCAGAAUAGCUAUCUGCGCGCGGCUAAGCUUUUGGGAAGGCAGGCCUGCUUGUCAGAGGGCUGGGUUACAGCCACAGCCGUGCUCCUCCGCCUACAUAAAACCCUUUUCGUUUCUUUGGUGACCGCAUGUGUGCUUUAGUCCUCAUGGCAAAGCUUGGGAGGGAAAAUCCUGCUAGCUGCCUUCGAGUGGUUGCAGAAGUAAGCGGUUAACUCACAGUACGAAAUUAAGUACCUUCUCAAUAAAUGAAGAAUUGGUUAAUCGAGUCCUGGCCUCAAAGCAAGAAAAUGCACGCUGUAUGUGCAGGCCAUGUAGCUGUGCACACACUGCAGUGCUGCAGCCUCCCGUGCCUCCGUGCUGCAGCACACCUCCCAAGCCCCUGGCAUAAUGCUCCUCCAGCGCGGUGCUGUCCUCACGCUCUGCAUUCACUGCCCUCGCGUCUGAGCAUCUCACCAAAUGAAAUAUUAAACGUGCUCAAGGAUAUUAUGUUCCUUUGCUAUUCUGGCAACUGAGAUCUUGAGUGCUCUCAGUCCUCCCUGACUUCACGUGUCGCAGGUUCACGUCUUAAUGUUCUUUUAAUGCUUGAUUUAAUACUCCGGAGGUCUUAGUACACGCUCACCUAUGUUACACAGGAACUCUGGCGUACAACCUACUAGACAAGGAGACGGCUAUUUAACGGGCAGGUAUUUCUCAUCGGCACCCAGACCCCAAACUACAAAGGUGGGAAGUGCUCCGGGCAGAGCCGGUGGCUGGCUGCACAGGAAGCCACGUCCGUUCUGUGCCGAGGGCCGUGCCAAGCUGAGCCCAGCGACGGCUCCCAGCGUUCGCCCAGCGGGGCACUCACUUGCAGAGGCCAGCUGUAACUCUACAAAUAAUAUCAGGAAGCGGUCAGUCUCCGUGUUAAAACACCCGGCUCCAGGAUACUGGAGGGCCCCUUUCUUCAUUUAAAUGACCUGUGCUCAGACUCUGAAAUUCUCCUGUCUGGAGUCACCUAGCAUCUGUGUAAUAUCCAUUUAAAUAGCAGAUGCAAUGGGAGACAACCUGAUGACAGAGGACAUAGGUGAUGAGCUUGCGUUUCAGCCAACAAUACCUCGGCCUGACAGGUGAGCGAUGGAGAGCCUUCAGAAAUAAUGCAUGAGCCGCAUCGGGGUGCUGCGGCGCUGCUCACCUGGUAGCUGCCGCUGGUUCGCCGCUGAUCUGACAGUGCCAGCUGCACGCCUGGAAGAAGUGGGGUAACGCAGCACCCGCUAAUGGACUUGUUGCUGGGGUGUUUCUGAGAAAAACGGGCACUUGGGCUUCCUGUUUGAGUUACACAGAGCCCCCGAGGUUCCAGCAUGAGUGAGAGCUCGUGUAAAACCUGCUUGCUGAGCCAUCACGACCCCCUAAGUGGUUUAUCAGGAAACUGGCACCACCGCUAGAGUGGAAUAAAAUAAAAUCACUGUAAGGAAAUAAAAGAGCAUUCCAGUCUCUUUCUGAGCAGAUUUGUAGCACAGGAAGGUGACUGAACUGCACUAAUCUUUCAUUGCAAAAAAAUGCCUCCGAAUAAAAAAAAGAAAUGUAGAACUGCAGCCACACAGAAGAGAACCGAAAUUAUGUUUACUUCCCUGCCCUAGGAUAGCACGGGGAGAUGUGCUUGUAAGGAUGGUUGUUUGUAUAAAUAAAUGUUCAUUCUUGGCAGUGGAAUGCAAACUAUGCUGAAGGGCUGGAAACAGACCACUUUGUAAAGCUGAGGCCAGAGUAAGGGAAAGAUGAAGCGAGGUUGUCGGGAGGAAAUUCACAUUCAUUUUUAGCAACUUGGAGAGUUUCUCAAGCAUGUUUGACAUUUUUAAUUAUGCUGAUGUAGAACCUAUUCCAAGGACAAAAGAAGUCAGGAUUACUGGGUAAACAAUUAGGAAAACUCAUACCAGCCAGCUAGGGGUAGUGUUGCCUGUGGGUCUGGAGACUCUGCUGAAACACGGAAUCAUCUUUCAUACUUUCUAGACAAAUGGAAUUUGAGUGUCUUGCAAAAUCUUCACCUAGGUCAGGAGACUCAGAUCCUCAUCUUGCAAACUUUUACAAAAGGCAUAUUUUUGACAGUACACACUAGACAGGAAGGAGAUUAGUCUGCACUGCUGCUAUUUGGCUGAGCUUUCCUGCAGGGUUUCCUGAGAGGCUACGAAACAAUCUUAUUACAUUUAUACCAAUUGUCUCCAAACCUGUACCCUUACAAUGGACAAUAAAACUGAUAUUUCUUCAGGAGAAUAAGAUCAGCUCUGCAGCACCGAACCACA